rnacentral:piRNA from 1 species
UCAGGUCGAAGUCAGGGGAAACCCUGAUG